rnacentral:misc_RNA from 1 species
GAUGAAGAACGUAGCGAAAUGCGAUAUGUAAUGUGAAUUGCAGAAUUCCGUGAAUCAUCGAAUCUUUGAACGCACAUUGCGCCCCCUGGCAUUCCGGGGGGCAUGCCUGUCCGAGCGUCAUUUCUGCCCUCCAGCCCGGCUGGGUGUUGGGCGCUGUCCCCCCGGGGACACGCCCCAAAGGCAGUGGCGGCGCCGCGUCGGGUCCUCGAGCGUAUGGGGCUUUGUCACCCGCUCGGGACGGACUCGUCGGCGCUGGUCUUCCUCCAGGCGACCCUUCGGGGCUCGUCUUCCUUCGGUUGACCUCGGAUCAGGUAGGGUUACCCGCUGAACUUAAGCAUAUCAAUAAGCGGAGGA